rnacentral:tRNA from 1 species
UGCCGGGAUAGCCUAGCCAGGUAAGGCGCAAGACUGGAAAUCUUGUGGAGCUUUGCUCCUCCUGGGUUCAAAUCCCAGUCCCGGCGUC